AGGUACCUUAGUUGGAAAUGCAGAAAUCACCCGCCUUCUGCGUUGAUCUCACUGGGAGCUGCAGACCAGAAAUUUAAAUCACUUUAGGUCACUUCUGAUUGAACAGAUUUGGUCAGUUUUCUUGCAGAGGCUGACAUUUGAAUGGGAACUUGGAAAACAGAUCUAAUGUCAAGUGAAUUUGAGACUCUAAAAUGCAACAAAUGGGCCAUAAAAAGUGGGGAAAACAGACAGAAACCAGGAAAGGAAACCCACGCCGUCCCAUUCCCUUAGAGGUAUCUCGGUAACCACAGUAAGGAUGAAGCAGCUCAACCAUCUAAGGUGAGGUGGAAUGGAUUUCUUAAGGUGAGAAAGCAGAGCCAGAAGCUGAAGGCUGGAACUGCCCAGUGCAACUGUCCUUGAAGAAGAGGAGCGUUAGAAUGGCCCAUCCCACAGCCUCGGCAAACAUGUACACCAGAAGCAUGGAGCUGCUUCUCUGAAGUUUCUUAAGAUUUGCUGGUGCCCCUCAGUUUCAGAAAAAGUUAUCUACAAAUUCUCUUUAAAACUUGCAUAUCUCAUGUGGUUUAAUUCUUAUUAAAAUGCCUACUUCUAUUUAAACACACAAUAUGGGCACAUCGUACACACACACACACACACAAACACACACGAACAUGCACACUACUUUCACCUCCCGAAAAGGAGUCAUACUUUCGGGUGGUAUCCACAAAGGAGCUCGUUUUGUUCCUGUUGCUGAUCUCAUGGAUUUGCGAGCCAACAUUCCUGUGAGGUGCUGGCUUUCAGCUAUAUUCACCAGGGGCUGCAUAGGAGGAUCAACAUGAGGCACCUCUUUUUGACUGGCUUUUCUUCAGGCACUAAAGUCAUAACCAUCAUUUAUUGAAACUUACACUGUAUAAAGCAUUUCUGCAUUGUCUCUUCCCCUUAAAACGACCCUAUGAAGUAGUGAUUAUUCUCUGCAUCUUACAAUCGAGGAAACUGAAUUGGGAAGUUUAAACAGCUUGCCAAGAUUACACAGUUGUCUUCUAAUAUGCCUGUACUUUAAUAGAAGUUGAAGAAGGAAAGUAUCGAUAGCUUCAAGAGGACAAUAAAAAGGAACAGUUACUCCUGAUAAUGUAUUAAUUUGUAGGUAUCUAAGAAGUUCAAGGUGGCAACGAUUUUUCUCUCUCUCUCCUUCUGUCUCUGGACUUGAUAAAAAUCCUUCUAAAUUCUCUAUUCUAUUCAAUAGCCAAUUUUACCAAUCUCCUAUAAAAAUGAUCAAAUCCAAUAUGUGUGUAUUAGAAUGAAUACAUAAAAAACUUUUAUAAUUUUUUCAAAAUCUCGCACUCAUAAGUUGGUAAGUCAACCACGGAAAAAAACCUCAAAUAUAAAAUUAAUGCAUUUAAUGGUGUUUACGUUUUUAUUACCCUGUAAUUAUAUCUUUCCUGUGAUUGUUUUCCUUUUCAUGCUGGCCUAUAAAAUGUGGCUGCCUCAACCUGUUUUAAACAUCUACAUUUGUAGGAUUAGGACUAGUGAUGUUUUGCCAGUUUCCAUGAAAGAAGCCAGAUGCACUGAAGCAACCUCCUUUGAUAGUUAAAGUCCUUCAUUAAUUUGACACCUGGCACUCCCAGCUAUGGUCUUAUUCAUUUUUGGUAGAAUCGUUCUGGUCCACAGAUAAGAGCAUAUUCUCUGUCAUGAUAAAUGAAUUAUGAAAUUCCCUAUUGUAGCGAUUUUUAUACUCUGCUGUUAUAACUUACAUUAGCUAUCCUCUUACUGUAAAUAUUGAUUCAUUGCAAAGUGAAGACUGUUUAUAUUUAGGGUUGCCUAGUUUAAGAAAAUUUUCCAUAUCAUCUUUUCCCUUGCUAUAAAAUUCUUCAUUCCAAAGGCACUUUUAAUUUGGCCUCAUUUAUUUUGUAGUAUUUCAAAUGCUGCCAAAAUUUGCAUAAGUGCAUGGAGACAAAAUUAAGUCCAGAUUUUCCAAGAUGGAUAAAUUUGUGGGUGGUUAUUUUUUCUUCUCCACAGAAGGGUUGAUUGCAAAAUUCCAGUAAAUGACAAGUUUUCAACAUAAUCAGUUUUCUAGAACUCCAUAUUCUAGCAAAUUUUCAGAAAUUAAUCUCUUACAUUAAGUGAGUUACCCUAUGUAUGCAUGUAAGUAAAAAAAAUCCUACUUUUAAAAGUUUGGAUUUGUAUCUGGAAACUAAAAAAGCUAUUAAUUUUGCCAUACACUUAUGUUAUCAAUUAAAAUACUUUUGCAAUAAAUAAAUAUCUAAUAGUUUAUAUAUAUGAUAUAAAUAUAUACUUUAUACGUAAGAAAUAUAUAUAUUUCCUUCUGGCAUGAACCCAAUAGUACUCAAUAUUUUAACAUUUGUUGGGAAAUCCCUAGUAAACCACCAGGUUUUUACUUAAAUUAACAAAUGAUCAGCCUUUACCCCAGAAUUUUUUUAAAGAAUACAAAAUAUUAAAUUGCUAAUAGGUAUUUCCUGUUUAAGUUGGCCUCUAUCUUUAUCUGUUCUGCUUUGGAGAGGUUCCAUACCACUCUGGCUUGGACCAUGUAAUCCAGUACUUGCCAGUCAAAGCAGCAUUGUGUAAGAGCAUCCCAUGGCUCUUCCUUGACCUACAUCUCACCAGCUUUCAUACUUUCCCCUUUCUUCCUCCCCUACCUGCAGCACCUGAAGGGCAUAAGGGUAGUUCCAUGACUACCACUUUAAUUCUGUAAUAAAAUGUUGCUAGAGGAAAAGAGGUCAUGGGCUAAGUGUGGAGAUGAAUGCUACUUUGUAAACUGCUUUGUUAUCCACUAUUUCCACACUUGGUCUUUAUUUUUUUUAUUAUUUUAUUUUAUUCUAUUAUUACUAUACUUUAAGUUUUACAGUACAUGUGCACAAUGUGCAGGUUUGUUACAUAUGUAUACAUUGCCAUGUUGCUGUGCUGCACCCAUUAACUCGUCAUUUAGCAUUAGGUAUAUCUCCUAAUGCUAUCCCUCUCCCCUCCCCCUACCCCACAACAGGCCCCGGUGUGUGAUG
rnacentral:lncRNA from 10 species